rnacentral:rRNA from 1 species
UGGCGAAUGAACAGGAAAGAGCUCAUUGUGGAAACCAAAGCUCUGGCAUUGGUGUGUGGGUUGAAUCUGUGCUGCCAACUUGGGUGUGGACAUGAGGCUCUUGGAACAGAGCACCAAUGAAGGUGAGAGACCUUGUGGCUUGUUCGCAACUCCUUGUGCACGGCGUACAUGAGCAGAGUCACGUUCCUCGAGAUUGGAGCGCAAAAGGGGUGGUAAGUUUCAUCUAAUGCUAAAUACAUGUCUGAAACCGAAAGAGCACAAGUACCAUGAGGGAAAGAUGAAAAGGACUUUGGAAAGAGAGUUAAAAGUGACUGAAGUUGCUGGGAGGGAAGCGGAUGGAUUUGUGUAUGCUUUUGGGAUUGUCACCUUUCAUGCUUUCCUUUGCCAUUGACAAUGCAAAUGCUGAUGGCUUUGGGCGCGGUGUGAAAUGUGGUAUCUCCCUCUGGGUGUGUCAACACCAGCCUUUUGGAAAGGAAAUGUGCUGUGCAAUUGGAAACUUCCUUCGGGCAUGUGGAAAUCGCAGCACAACUUUCUGGGAAGCUGGCACUUGUGUUCAACAUCUCUGCUCUGGCGCCAGCCUGUGUAGACUAUGUCAGAUGCAUGCUGCGUGCUUCGUGCAAGGUGAACACGAUUUGCUGACCAGAUGAUUCUAUCCGACCCGUCUUGAAACACGGACCAAGGAGUCUAACAUGUGUGCAAGUUGUCGAUGUUGGGUGUCUGUUGCGAAAUGAAAGUGACUGCUGGGAUAUGUGCACCAGCAAUCGACUGAUCAUUUGAGUGAGGUUUGAAUAUGAGCAUACCUGUUAGGACCCGAAAGAUGGUGAACUAUGCCUGCCAAGGGUAAAUUCAGGAGAAAUUCUGAUGGAGGCUUGCAGCGAUACUGACGUGCAAAUCGUUCGUCAAAGGUGGGUAUAGGGGCGAAAGACUAAUCGAACCAUCUAGUAGCUGGUUCCCUCCGAAGUUUCCCUCAGGAUAGCUGGAGUUGAACAGUUUUAUCAUGUAAAGCGAAUGAUUAGAGGAAUCGGGGACGUCUUGUGCUCGACCUAUUCUCAAACUUUAAAUGGGUAAGAUCCAGUGGUUGCUUAUUUGACCUUCUGGGAUAAAUGACAACUCUAAGUGGGCCGCUUUUGGUAAGCAGAACUGGCGAUGAGGGAUGAACCUAACAUUGCAUUAAGGUGCCGAACUGCUCGCUCAUCAGAUACCAUAAAGGGUGUUGGUUCAUUUUAACAGCAGGACGGUGGUCAUGGAAGUCGAAAUCCGCUAAGGAGUGUGUAACAACUCACCUGCCGAAUGGACUAGCCCCGAAAAUGGAUGGCGCUCAAGCGAGUGACCGACAUGCAAUCAUUG